rnacentral:lncRNA from 1 species
CUCAGAGGGGUGAUGAAACCCGCUUCCCAAGUGAACCCCUUGCUGGUUACCCCUGCCCGGCCUCAACUCAGGGAUGAAGAGGAAAGAAAGUCAAAGCGGCCUCUUCUAGACAAGAAGGCACCUAGCAGGACUGACUGGGGUCCUACUGUGCCCUCAUUUAUGCCGGUUACUAAAAUGAAUGACAGCACGCCUGCUAUGGCUGAACUCAGCCUGUGGAAUGGCCCGAAGGCAUCCCUGCCCAGCGACUCAUAACUCGCACCUGCACACACACCUUACAGCAGAUGGUAAUCGAAAGCUCCAGCCCUACCCCGGGGAUCUGAAGCUAAAUUAGAAUCACCGGGUUGCUCUCCGGGAUCCUGCCUGCUCUUUGAUUAUCCUCAAUCCAGGAAGCCCCAGAUGCUGGUGAGCUUUGUCUCUCUGGGUUCCCUGUGCCUUCAACCAGGUAGCCAGACUCUGCUGGAGAAAAAUCGCACAGUCAAGCCGCAUGUCUCCUUCACACUGGUAAAAAUAAGCCUUAAAUUCCUCCUCACCCCUGCCCUAAAACUGACUACCUCUGCCUAGGCAGUGUGCUGCCCCACUCUCUGAGAUGCUUCCAUACUUCCACUGACACUGCUCCUCCUCUCCUCUCCCCACCCCACCCUGUCAGUCGCCAUCCUCUCAGCUGCCAGCUUUAUCUCAUGUUUCUGAGAAAAAUGAAGCCAAAAGCAUGAGCUCCCUUAUCCCUCCCCCGCCAAAUCUACACACCCCUGCACAGGCGCCUUUCCCUCUGCCCACAAAGGAGCAAGUCAGUAUAUCCCUGCCUAGCAAAGCCCAGUCCUCCAGAAUAAUGCCCCUCACGGAUAACCAGGUCCUAAUUCCUGAAACAUCUGAUUGUUUCUUUAUAUGGCAGAAGGCUUUGCAGGUGUGAUUAAAUUAAGGGUCGUGAGCUGGAGAGAUUACCCUGGAUUAUCUCGGUGGGUCCUAAAUGUGAUCACAAGUGUCCUCAUAACAGAGGGGCAGUAGGAAAUUUGACUACACAGCCGGAGGCGACGUAACAAAAGCAGAAAGAGAUUUGAAGAUGUUAAACUGCUGGUUUGGAAGAUGAAGGGGCCAAGAGCCAGGAAAAGCAGCUCUAGAUGCUGGAAAAAGCAAGGAAAUAGACUCCCCCUCAGAGCCUCUGGAGGGACCUGCAGUCCUGUGGACAAUUUAUAGUCCAGUGCAACUGGUUUUGGACUUCUGACCUCCAAAACUGUAAGAGAAUAAACGUACGUGGUUUUAUGCCACCAAGAGUGUGGUGUUACAGCAGCCCUAGGAAUCUCAUAUGCCCUCCCUGCUCCCUGCUCAAAGGCUUUGUUCUUCAGCUCCUCUCUUUCUCUCCUGCACAAGUUACUCAUCACUCCUUCCUACUGGACCAUUUUCAUCAGUGUAUAAGCAAAAAAAAAAAAAAAAUUAUCUGUAUUUCACUUUCCAUUCAUCCUUCAGCUCAUGCCACUCUGACUCUCAAACCUGCCACACACCAAGUCUUCUCAAAGUCACUGAAGAUGUCCACAUUGACAAGUCAAAUGAACACUUUAUGUUCCUCAUCUUCCUGGGCUUCUCAGCAGCGUUGGUACAACUGCCAUUGGCCCCAUCUGCAUCCACCGUCCUUUCUGCUUCUCUGAUCUACCUCCUACCAUCCCCACGUCACUCCUCAGUCUCUUCAACCCAACCUUUGAUGUCAGUUUUCAGCGCUCAGCCUCCAACCCACUUUUGUUUCUCUGCAUCACUCCCUAGGUGAUCUCAUCCAUAGCCAUGGCUUUAACACCAUCUAUAUGCUGCUGCCAAAGUGUACAUUUGCAGCCGAGGCCUCUCUCUGAGCUCUCACUAUCUACAGGAUGCCUCCUCUUGUUUGUCCUGCAGGUGUGCUGAAGCUGACCUUGUGCUUCCCUGCAGCAAUCUGCUUGUCCUCCGAUUUCCCC